CUAUGCGCCUUGCCAGCCCGCUCAGGUGUGCCAGCAGCCGCGGUAAUACGUAGGUGGCAAGCGUUGUCCGGAUUUACUGGGUGUAAAGGGCGUGUAGCCGGGCUGACAAGUCAGAUGUGAAAUCCGGGGGCUCAACCUGCGAACUGCAUUUGAAACUGUUUCCCUUGAGUAUCGGAGAGGUCAUCGGAAUUCCUAGUGUAGCGGUGAAAUGCGUAGAUAUUAGGAAGAACACCAGUGGCGAAGGCGGAUGACUGGACGACAACUGACGGUGAGGCGCGAAAGCGUGGGGAGCAAACAGG
rnacentral:rRNA from 1 species